rnacentral:rRNA from 1 species
AUGCGAGUCGAGCGUCUCUAGUUAUGGUGAGACGCGGCAGACGGCUCAGUAACACGUGGCUAACCUACCCUCAGGACAGGGACAAACCCGGGAAACUGGGGCUAAUACCCGAUAGGCGAGGGCGCCUGGAAUGGUUCUUCACCCAAAGGGCUUUGGAAGCAUGCUUUUCAAAGUCGCCUGGGGAUGGGGCCGCGUCCGAUCAGGUUGUUGGUGAGGUAACGGCUCACCAAGCCUAUAACCGGUACGGGCCGUGAGAGCGGUAGCCCGGAGAUGGGCACUGAGACAAGGGCCCAGGCCCUACGGGGCGCAGCAGUCGCGAAAACUCCGCAAUGCACGAAAGUGUGACGGGGCUACCCCGAGUGCCGUCCGCUGAGGAUGGCUUUUCCUCGGUGUAACUAGCCGGGGGAAUAAGGAGAGGGCAAGACUGGUGUCAGCCGCCGCGGUAAUACCAGCUCUCCGAGUGGUAGGGAUGAUUAUUGGGCUUAAAGCGUCCGUAGCCGGCUUAGCAAGUCUCCUGUUAAAUUCAGCGACCUAAUCGUUGAGCCGCGGGAGAUACUACUAGGCUAGGAGGCGGGAGAGGCCGACGGUACUUCCGGGGUAGGGGUGAAAUCCUAUAAUCCCGGGCGGACCACCAGUGGCGAAGGCUGUCGGCUAGAACGCGCUCGACGGUGAGGGAUGAAAGCUGGGGGAGCGAACCGGAUUAGAUACCCGGGUAGUCCCAGCCGUAAACGAUGCGGGCUAGGUGUUGGGGUGGCUACGUGCCACUUCAGUGCCGCAGGGAAGCCAUUAAGCCCGCCGCCUGGGGAGUACGGCCGCAAGGCUGAAACUUAAAGGAAUUGGCGGGGGAGCACCACAAGGCGUGAAGCUUGCGGUUC